AUGUUUAAAUUUGCAGAUAAACUUUUCAAUGCACUUUCCAAGAGGUGCAUAUGUUGUUCCAUUAGAGGCUUUUUUGAUUGUCCAGCAAGAGCUAUCCCAGAACCACAAGCUAUGACCGCCACGACACCUGCUCGCCCCAACAUACCCGGUGUCAGGCUGGACAUGUCUGCAUGUGAAGGUGAUAGCUCUACCUCCAAGAGAACUCGUUGCGGGGAUACACCUGAUCCCAUGCGCAAGCGCCACUGCUCUGAAGGGGAAUCUCCCGCAGAUAUCAACAUGUCGAUUGUUCGUUUUGCCCAGUUCACCUUGCGAGCAAUCAGUGAACUAUUCAUCAAUCUGCCCAAUGAUGGUAGUACUACAGUUUUCGGUGAGCGGCGGGAAGAGCUACCUGGCCGCAAGUAUGUUCAGCACCCUGGGUUCCAAACUGAUCCUUGGGGCAGGGGUGUCGUCCCGCCACCCCCCUGCAAUGAUAUAUCUGAACUUAUCCUUCAGUUUUUUGCAUCGUCAUCCGUGCAAGAACUAUCGAGGAAUUUCCUGGUUCAUGAGAUGCCGAGGUUUGCACGCGUCACUGGAGUGGCAAUNNNNNNNNNNNNNNNNNNNNNNNNNNGAGACCCUAAUUGA
rnacentral:rRNA from 1 species